GUUGGCUCCAUCAGGCUGAACGUGAAGUUGUGACCUCAGCUCUGAAGUCCAACCCAGAUCUGACUGAACUGGAAAUCAUUUGGUUCAUCCAUCUCGGAGACUCUGAUAUGAAGAAUCUGCUUGAGAUCCUGGAGAGUUCAGUCAGUAAAGUGAAGAAUCUGAGAUUGUGGAAGUGCAGUUUGUCAGAGACCAGCUGGACGUCUCUGUUCUCAGCUCUGAAGUCCAAACCGACCCAUCUGACAGAACUGUACCUG